UCUUAGUCUUGGCAAUUAACCAUAAAUCAGGAAAUAUUGACGAUGGAAGCAAUGGCGACGUGGCUGCUGACCAUUAUCAUCGAUACAAGGACGACAUAGAAAUGAUGCAUUCGAUUGGCCUCGGCUCCUACAGAUUCUCAUUGUCGUGGUCUAGAAUUCUUCCAAGUGAGCUCAUUCUCAGAAUUACACCAACUGUCAAUGACUUAUGGCUUAGCUCCCAACUCGACAACACGCACAUAAUCCUUCCUUAGUGCCGGCGUUUAGCUUAAAUUAUAUGCAUGUACCUUUCAAAUAUCCAUGGUCAGAGGGUCGCUUCGGAGGUGUUAAUCAGGCAGGCAUUAAAUUCUACAAUAGCCUCAUCAACGGACUGCU